rnacentral:snRNA from 1 species
GUGAAGUAAGCUAAAGAAGCAGAA